rnacentral:lncRNA from 1 species
CAAAGAUUUACUAAGACCUCAAAAUGUCAGAAUCCCUAUUUUUAAAAAUGUUGUUAUUUUAUUUAGGUAGUACUGUUUUUGCUUGUAUCAUUUUGUUUUACUGUGUAUUGUUUUAUGGAUGUGAAUGUUCAGUUACUCUAAUUUUGUUAUUGUAAUGUAUCAAAUACAGCAUAUUUUAUUUCGCACCACGUUUGUGGCGAGGUAUGUUCGACCCCAAUCGUAAUUGACAAUGAUUACCAGUAUUCCUACCGAAGGUCGGUUGUCCUCUUCGGGUAUAUACUUUGAUUUGCUCCACUUAUAAUAUUUGGUCAUGAUAUAGACUAGGUGGUUGAAAGUGGCGCCUAAGAAUGGAACACCAC